UACGAACUGUGCAAACGUUAUUCGGAAUCACUGGGCUUAAAGGGUGCGUAGGCGGCCAAGUAAGUCAGGAGUGAAAGUUUGCGGCUCAACCGUAAAAUUGCUUUUGAUACUGCUAGGCUAGAAUUAGGAUGAGGUCAGCGGAAUGUGGCAUGUAGCGGUGAAAUGCAUAGAUAUGCCAUAGAACACCAAUUGCGAAGGCAGCUGGCUAGACCUGGAUUGACGCUGAGGCACGAAAGCGUGGGGAUCGAACAGG
rnacentral:rRNA from 1 species